GCUUCUGGAUGCAGUGAGGAGCAGCUGGAGGGGGCCUGUCAAUCCCCAGGGACAUGCUGCCACGUGCCGCUGGAGACGCUCACCCUGGCUCACGGCCUCCGGCUCGUGGAGGAGAGGAUCCAGGACGUGGCCAGGCACCUGGAGGAAGUGCUGAUACCGCCCAGCGUGAGCACGCUCGCCGGGAGCUCGCUCUCCUCUUCCUCCUGGGACUCCAGCUCCUCCGUCCCCUGCGGGUCCAGCUGCGUUGCCCUGCGCGAAGCCUCCCAGCGCUGGUCGCUGUCCCUCUGCCGCGCGGGGGAGACCGUGUCUGUCGUGGGCUGGGAAGGCCCCUCGCGUCCCACCCCA